AGAGUUUGAUCAUGGCUCAGAACGAACGCUGGCGGCAGGCUUAACACAUGCAAGUCGAACGCCCCGCAAGGGGAGUGGCAGACGGGUGAGUAACACGUGGGAACGUACCUUUUGGUUCGGAAUAACUCAGGGAAACUUGAGCUAAUACCGGAUACGCCCGUAAGGGGAAAGAUUUAUUGCCGAAAGAUCGGCCCGCGUCUGAUUAGCUAGUUGGUGAGGUAACGGCUCACCAAGGCGACGAUCAGUAGCUGGUCUGAGAGGAUGACCAGYCACWCUGGGACUGAGACACGGCCCAGACUCCAACGGGAGGCAGCAGUGGGGAAUAUUGGACAACGGGCGCAAGCCUGAUCCAGCCAUGCCGCGUGAGUGAUGAAGGCCUUAGGGUUGUAAAGCUCUUUUACCCCGGGAAGAUAAUGACUGUACCGGGAGAAUAAKCCCCGGCUAACUUCGUGCCAGCAGCCGCGGUAAUACGAAGGGGGCUAGCGUUGUUCGGAUUUACUGGGCGUAAAAGCGCACGUAGGCGGACUUU
rnacentral:rRNA from 1 species